rnacentral:rRNA from 1 species
UACGGGGGGGGCAAGCGUUGUUCGGAAUUACUGGGCGUAAAGGGCUCGUAGGUGGCCAACUAAGUCAGACGUGAAAUCCCUCGGCUUAACCGGGGAACUGCGUCUGAUACUGGAUGGCUUGAGUUUGGGAGAGGGACGCGGAAUUCCAGGUGUAGCGGUGAAAUGCGUAGAUAUCUGGAGGAACACCGGUGGCGAAGGCGGCAUUCUGGACCGACAUUGACGCUGAGGAGCGAAAGCCAGGGGAGCAAACAGG